ensembl:lncRNA
CUCCUCUCUAAUGUAUCUAUAAUAGACUGGUUCUCCCUCCUCCUCCUCUUUAAUGUAGCUAUACUAGACUGGUUCUCCCUCCUCCUCCUCUCUAAUGUAGCUAUACUAGACUGGUUAUCCCUCCUCCUCCUCUCCAAUGUAUCUAUCAUAGACUGGAGCUCCCUCCUCCUCCUCUUUAAUGUAGCUGUACUAGACUGGUUCUCCCUCCUCCUCUCUAAUGUAUCUAUACUAGACUUAUCUCCCUCCUCCUCUCUAAUAUAGCUCUACUAGACUGGUUCUCCCUCCUCCUCUCUAAUGUAGCUAUACUAGACUGGUUCUCUCUCCUCCUCUCUAAUAUAGCUGUACAUGACUGGUUCUCCAUCCUCCUCUCUAAUGUAGCUAUACUAGACUGGAUCUCCCUCCUCUUUAAUGUAGCUGUACUAGACUGGUUCUCUCUCCUCCUCCUCUCUAAUGUAGCUGUUCUAGACUGGUCCUCCCUCCUCCUCUCUAAUAUAUCUAUAAUAGACUGGUUUUCCCUCCUCCUCCUCUUUAAUGUAUUUAUACUAGACUGGUUCUCCCUCCUCCUCUUUAAUGUAGCAUUACUAGACUGGUUCUCCCUCCUCCUCUCUAAUGUAGCUAUACUAGACUGGAUCUCCCUCCUCUUUAAUGGAGCUGUACUAGACUGGUUCUCCCUCCUCCGCCUCCCUAAUGUAGCUGUACUAGACUGGUUCUCUCUCCUCCUCCACUCUAAUGUAGCUGUACUAGAAUGGUCCUCCCUCCUACUCUCUAAUGUAGCUGUACUAGACUGGUUCCCCCCUUCUCCUACUCUUUAAUGUAGCUUUACUAGACUGAUUCUCCCUCCUCCUCUCUAAUGUAUCUAUACUAGACUGGAUCUCCCUCCUCUUUAAUGGAGCUGUACUAGACUGGUUCUCCCUCCUCCGCCUCCCUAAUGUAGCUGUAGUAGACUGGUUCUCUCUCCUCCUCCACUCUAAUGUAGCUGUACUAGAAUGGUUCUCCCUCCUCCUCUCUAAUGUAGCUGUACUAGACUGGUUCCCCCUCCUCCUACUCUUUAAUGUAGCUUUACUAGACUGAUUCUCCCUCCUCCUCUCUAAUGUAUCUAUACUAGACUGGAUCUCCCUCCUCUUUAAUGUAGCUGUAGUAGACUGGUGCUCCCUCCUCCGCCUCUCUAAUGUAGCUGCACUAGACUGGUUCUCUCUCCUCCUCCUCUCUAAUGUAGCUAUACUAGACUGAUUCUCCCUCCUCCUCUCUAAUGUAGCUAUCCUAGACUGGUUCUCUCUCCUCCUCUCUAAUAUAGCUUUACAUGACUGGUUCUCCGUCCUCCUCUCUAAUAUAGCUUUACAUGACUGGUUCUCCGUCCUCCUCUCUAAUGUAUCUAUUCUAUACGGGUUUUCCCUUCUCCUAUUCUACAUAAUGUAUCUAUACUAGACUGGUUGUCCCUCCUCCUCCUCUCUAAUGUAGCUAUACUAGACUGGUUCUCCCUCCUCCUCCUCUCUAAUGUAGCUAUACUAGACUGGUUCUCUCUCCUCCUCUCUAAUAUAGCUGUACAUGACUGGUUCUCCAUCCUCCUCUCUAAUGUAGCUAUACUAGACUGGUUCUCCCUCCUCCUACUCUCUAAUGUGUCUAUACUAGACUGGUUUUCCCUCCUCCUCUCUAAUGUAUCUAUACUAGACUGGUUUUCCCUCCUCCUCCUCUAUUAUGUAGCUGUACUAGACUGGUUCUCCCUCCUCCUCCUCUCUUAUGUAGCUGUACUAGACUGGUUCUCCCUCCUCCUCCUCUCUAAUGUGUCUAUACUAGACUGGUUUUCCCUCCUCCUCUCUAAUGUAUCUAUACUAGACUGGUUUUCCCUCCUCCUCCUCUAUUAUGUAGCUGUACUAGACUGGUUCUCCCUCCUCCUCCUCUCUAAUGUAGCUGUACUAGACUGGUUCUCCCUACUCCUCCUCUCUAAUGUAGCUAUACUAGACUGGUUCUCCCUCCUCCUCCUCUCUAAUGUAGCUAUACUAUACUGGUUCUCCGUCCUCCUCCUCUCUAAUGUAGCUAUACUAGACUGGUUCUCCAUCCUCCUCUCUAAUGGAGCUAUACUAGACUGCUUCUCUCUCCUCCUCUCUAAUAUAGCUGUACAUGACUGGUUCUCCAUCCUCCUCUCUAAUGUAUCUAUACUAUACUGGUUGUCCCUCCUCCUCCUCUCUAAUGUAUCUAUCAUAGACUGGUUCUCCCUCCUCCUCCUCUUUAAUGUAGCUGUACUAGACUGGUUCUCCCUCCUCCUCCUCCUCCUCUCUAAUGUAGCUAUACUAGACUGGUUCUCCCUCCUCCUCUCUAAUGUAUCUAUACUAGACUGCUUCUCCCUCCUCCUCUCUAAUGUAGCUAUUCUAGACUGGUUCUCCCUCCUCCUCCUCUCUAAUGUAUCUAUUCUAGACUGGUUUUCCCUCCUCCUCCUCUUUAAUGUAGCUGUACUAGACUGUUUCUACCUCCUCCUCCUCUCUAAUGUAGCUGUACUAGACUGGUUCUCCCUCCUCCUCUCUAAUGUAGCUGUACUAGACUGGAUCUCCCUCCUCCUCCUCUUUAAUGUACCUUUACUAGACUGGUUAUCACUCCUCCUCUCUAAUGUAUCUAUACUAGACUGGUUCUUCCUCCUCCUCUCUAAUGUAGCUGUACUAGACUGGUUCUCCCUCCUCCGCCU